rnacentral:lncRNA from 1 species
UUUAUUAUUUUUAUAGCACUUAUUCAUUUAGGAUUUUAAAUAGCUUCAUUUUGUAGACGACAUUACUUUGAAAAGAAGAGAAUAAAUUCAAGAAGAAAGUCAAGUAGAAACUGCAAAUCUAGAAUAUUCUGCAUCAGCUUAUUUACAAGGAGAGGGAAUUGGGAGUGAGGAUUUAAAUAAAAAAGGCACAGCUCUGUGACUAAGGCCUCAGCUUACAGGAAGAGUCAGAAAUGACAGAUAUCUUUGGCUGCUGUUACAGUGUGGAUGUCCAGUGUAUUCAAACAACUUGAUGGGAUCUGGAACACUUAGGAUAAGGAGGAGGCAGCUGAGACGAAAGUAAAAGGUAUCCCCAGCAGACUGAAGAAAAAGCUGUUUCACAAUUUCUGAAACUUUUCUUAAGCUUGUCCUUACAAUGCCAGGUAAGAACCCAAUGCAGA